rnacentral:rRNA from 1 species
GAUGAACGCUAGCGGCAGGCUUAACACAUGCAAGUCGAGGGGUAUAGUUCUUCGGAGCUAGAGACCGGCGCACGGGUGCGUAACGCGUAUGCAAUCUACCUUUUGCAGAGGGAUAGCCCAGAGAAAUUUGGAUUAAUACCUCAUGGUAUGUGAGAAUGGCAUCAUUUUCACAUUAAAGUCACAACGGCAAAAGAUGAGCAUGCGUCCCAUUAGCUAGUUGGUAAGGUAACGGCUUACCAAGGCAACGAUGGGUAGGGGUCCAGAGAGGGAGAUCCCCCACACUGGUACUGAGACACGGACCAGACUCCUACGGGAGGCAGCAGUGAGGAAUAUUGGACAAUGGGCGCAAGCCUGAUCCAGCCAUGCCGCGUGCAGGAUGACGGUCCUAUGGAUUGUAAACUGCUUUUGUACAGGAAGAAACACUGGUUCGUGAACCAGCUUGACGGUACUGUAAGAAUAAGGAUUGGCUAACUCCGUGCCAGCCGCCGCCGUAACAC